rnacentral:rRNA from 1 species
CCUACGGGUGACAGCAGUGGGGAAUAUUGCACAAUGGGGGAAACCCUGAUGCAGCAACGCCGCGUGGGUGAAGGAGCGUUUCGGCGCGUAAAGCUCUGUUAGCGGGGAAGAAGAAAGACGGUACCCGACCAAGAAGCCCCGGCUAACUACGUGCCAGCCGCCGCGGUAAUACGGAGGGGGCGCGCGUUAUCCGGAAUUCCUGGGUGUAAAGGGAGCGUAGACGGCAUGCCAAGUCUGGUGUGAAAGCCCGGGGCCCAACCCCGGACCUGCAUUGGAAACUGGCGGGCUGGAGUGUCGUAGGGGCAGGCGGAAUGCCUAGUGUAGCGGUGAAAUGCGUAGAUAUUAGGAGGAACACCGGUGGCGAAGGCGGCCUGCUGGACGAUGACUGACGCUGAGGCUCGAAAGCGUGGGUAGCAAACAGGAUUAGAUACCCCAGUAGUC